AAUGAUAUCAUAAAUCUAUAAUAAUUACCACAACUGUUUUCAUCACCUUUUUGCAAAUUUGUACAAAAUAUUGAUAAUUAUUACCACAAGAGUUAAAUCAAAGAGAUUAGAGGGAGAUUUAGGAGGCAAAGAAAAUGACCCAACAUCCUCAUCCGAUUCUAUGGACCCACUAAAAGAAGAUAGAAUUAAAAUUAUAUAUAUUUGGGGAAUAAGGAAAAAUCAAACGGGGGAAUAGUAAUACUAAAUAGAAGCCAAAGUGGCAAAGAGAAGGGUGGUGAGUAGGAUGGAGACGAUGUUCCCACGUGGAGAGGAUGAGCCAAGUUGCGGGGAGGGCCCUGAGUGUCACAAUCGGGGAAAAACGCCCCCACAAAUUAACAGCAACCCUCCAUGGCCUUGGGAUUGCGACUUCAAGGCUGUUUCGACCCACAAAUAUUAUACGCCCAUUCUGCCAACCGUCUUCCACUGAACCCUUUGCGCCAUCUUUUGAACCCCUUUUCCUGCCUGUCCCUUUGUGCAUUUUGGUUUUACUUCGACUUCAACACAAAGCUGGAGUUUCCAUAUUACAAUGUUAUUUUAUGUUUUUUUAUUACUUUACGUUGGAUGUGUGAUCACUAUAAUAUUGUAAUAUUGGAAGAAGGGGAAAAAGGAUGAUCGGAAUUGAAUUUGAAAGAUAAAAGCAUCGUGGAGACUAUUGUAUUAAGAGUCAGAUUACAUUUUAUCUUUUUUAUUAAAAAAAUGAACAAUUU
rnacentral:lncRNA from 1 species